CCCGGCGGUAGUGCGAAUUCUGGCGACCGGCCUUCCAGCUCUUCCUGGCGUCGGAGAAGCCACCGAACUGGAGCAAGACGACGGUAAAAAGCAGCGGGCGCCACAGUCCAGUGCUGGCCUGCCACUUCAGGCCACCAACAUCAAUCACCCCUGCCGUGGACCACUUCCUGGAGGUCCAAGAUGCGGACUUCUACAAAGAAGGGAUCCAUGUGUUCCACAACCGCUGGACUAAAUUGCGGCCCUGACAAUCAACCAGGGGUGUGGUCUUCCCCGUCUACAGGAGGAACAGAAAGAACAAUUCACCCCACGCCAAGCUACAAAUGGAUCUGAGUUGGUUUAUCAUAUCCUGUCAAAAGAAAACAGAACCUCACUGGGAAGUGAAGGACAUAGCAAUAGCACACACCACCAUCAAAGCCUUGCAGGGAGAUUUAGUGAGACCUGACGUGGGUUUUGAUGCCUUACCAACAUGUCUUCACGUUGCAGACCUUCUAUGUAGGGUCAAUGAGAGGAGCCAAGUUCCUUCGGUAGAGAUACAACAGCAUUAUCAAGUACCAUAUGAAGGAUGGAAAUCAACAUGAAGCUACAAAUUAAUGAAAAUCUGAAGGAAAUUCUCAGGAGGUCAGGCAGCAUCCGUGUGGUGCAUCAGGAUGAAGUUCUGAUGUAGGAUCCCAGACCUGAAAUGCUGAAGUGGCUGAGGUGGAGGAUCUCAACCUGACAAUUUAUUCCUCCCCCACAGAUGCUGCUUAGCUCACUGAGUCUCUCUGGUAGAUUGUUCUUACUCCUGAAGAGCUAAUGUUGCUUCUCUUUCCAGUUGCUGCCUUGUGUGCUUCUAUUGUUUUCUGCUGAUAUGGAGGACGGGUUUAGACCAUAAGACGUAGGAGUGGAAUUUGGCCAUUUGGCCCAUCAAGUCUGCUCUGCCAUUCAAUCAUGGCUGAUCAUUUUUUCCUCCCCAGCUCCACUGCUCGGCCCUCUCCCCGUAUCCUUUGGUGCCGUGUCUAAUCAAGAACCUAUCAAGCUCUGCCUUAAAUACACCCAACGACCUGGCCUCCACAGCUGCCUGUGGUAAUAAAUUCCACAAAUUCACCAUCCUCUGGCUGAAGAAAUGUCUCAGCAUCUCUGUUUUAAAUGGACACCCCUCUAUCCUGAGGCUGUGCCCUUGUCCUAAACUCCCCCACCAUGCGAAACAUCCCUUCCAUAUCUACUCUGUCUAGGCCUUUCAACAUGAGAAAGGUUUCAAUGAGACCCUCCCCCCUCAUCCUUCUAAAUUCUAGUGAGUACAGACCCAGAGCCAUCAAGCAAUCCUUGUAUGAUAACCCUUUAAUUCCUGGACUCAUUCCUGUGAGCCUCCUCUGGACCCUCUCUUUAUUCAGAGUAUUGGUGUUGUCGAAAGCCCAGAGAGAAAUAAAAAGGCGCACUUGCCCUUGUCACAUCAAUAUAACCCCUCCUCUACUUUCCUAGAUCUGUUUUCCUUUCAUUGAUCUUACCCCUGCCCACCCUGUCCAUCUAUUGUUGUGUUCCUGGUUGGUCUCAACCCUUGUCAUGAUGCUCAAUGUUACCCAUUACAACUGCCUGGGUUGGACAAUUUUGCCCUAAAAUGCAACAGCGAUGUGUUAGAAGCACAUACACAAAAUGCUGGAGGAACUCGGUAAGUCAGGUAGCAUCUGUGGAGGGUUUCAUGCUGAGACCCGAUGUCAGGACUGGUUUUAGAUACAUGUUGGAGUGCGAGACACAUGCGAACCAUUAAAACAUGGUGCCCAACAAGGAAGCUAGUAGUGUUUUGACAGUAACACACUUGUUCAAAGUGACACCCUAUAAUAAUCUGUCCCAUCUGUUUUCACCGGCAUUUACAUUGACACUUAGAUCCAAAACAUUGUUCAGACCCGGUGUCAAUUGGUUCAAUCACGCUCCAUGAAUGCAGAGGGGAUGUUUCCUAUGAUGGGAGAGUCUAGGGCCAAAGGGCACAGUCUCAGAAUAGAGGGAUGUCCAUUUAGAACAGAGAUGAGGAGGAAUUUCUUUAGUCUGAGGGUGGUGAAUCUCUGGAGUUAAUUGCCACAGACAGCAGUGGAGUCAUUGGGUAUAUUCAAAGUGGAAGUUGUUGGGUUCUUUACUAGCAAGAACAUUAAAGGUUACAGGAGAAGACAGAAGAAUGGGGUUGAAAGGGAUAGUAAAUGAGUCAGAAUGGAAUGGCUGAGCAGACUUAAUGGGACAAUAGGCCUAAUUCAGCUUCUACGUCUUAUGGUCAAUAGGGAGUUAAAAUUCAAUCCUUUCUGCCAACCCAGAUCACCACAGGUCCUCACUAGUGAAACAGCAAUGGGAGAACUCCUGAAUGUGAGGCUUGAAAGGACAUAACCUUAGAUAGGAAGAUGAAUGAUGGAAAAAUGGAGGGCUAUGAAGGAAGGAAUGGUUAGAUUGAUCUUAGAGUAGAUUAAAAGCUCAACACAACUUGUGGGCUGAAGGUCCUGUACUGUGCUGUAAUAUGCUAUACUCUAAAUUCUAUAAUUCAGAGCAAUGCCUCCUUCAGGAAUAGAGCAGAAUUGCACCUAAAGAGAAAUUUGAGUUUCGCAGUGCCCGGCAUUGUGAGGAACUUCCCCACUCGUAUUGGCGCAUGUUUCUACUUUGAGGGUGACCAGUUCAUGGCUCCAUAUUAAACUGCAAUGCCCUGUGCUACACCAGUGCUCCCUCAGCCUAGCUUUGAGAAAGGGUACCCACAGUACUGGAAAGCUUAGGAGUGGGAGAUGUUAGUCACUGGUUAUUGUGUUCAGCGUGACAAAUUCACACCAGGUAGGACCAAGGACCAGGAGGUGGAAGCUGUUGGAGGUGUAAGGGUUCAGAAUUGUUAUUUUUUUCUCAUAUUUUUCUUGAUUAAUUUCUCUGCUUGUACUUUAUUUAUUUUUAAUUUGUAUUAUUUUAUUUAGCGAUGCAGGCUUUUCAGGCCCAGCAACCCACCUAUUUAAACCUAGCCUAAUCACAGGACAAUUUACAAUGACCAAUUAGUAGUAACUGUAAACUGGAGCACCCGGAGGAAACCCUCAUGCUCACGGGAUGUUCUUACGGACGGUGCUGGAAUUGAACUCCAAACUCCAACAUCCCGAGCUGUAAUGGCGUCACGCUAUCUGCUAUACUACCAUGGCCUGUAUUGUUCAGUGAAUUUUCCAGGCCUUGCACUACAGCUGAUUGUGUAUAUUUCUAGAAGCUUCUCAGUGUUCCAGUAGCAGGUGUCAGACACUUGAGUCUGGCUAUUUUAGAGGUUAAUUGUUAUCACUGGAAUUUUGUUACCUGUAGUUGGAGAAUGAGAUAAUGAGAUGACUACAGCUGCUUUUUCUUUGUCCCCCACCAUUCAGGCCAUGUUCUCUUCUCACUCCCACUACCAGGAGGAAGGUACAUGAGCCUCAGUACCCACACCACCAAGUUCAGGGACAGUAAUUACCCCUCAACCAUCAGACUCUUGAACCAGAGGAGACAACUUCACUUGCCCCGUCACCGAACUGUUUGCACAACCUAUAGACUCACUUUCAAGCACUCUUAAUAUUUAUUACUAACUAACAUUGAUUUAUUUAUUUAGUUAUUAUUUCCUUUGUCUGUCCUGUUGGUUGCAGUCUUUCAUUGAUUCUAUUAUGCUUAUUAAAUUUACUAUGA